rnacentral:other from 1 species
GUUCCCCUGAGAUGUUCGUUUUUGGGUUAUAUCCCAGAGCUGAUACCUUUUAUUUAGGGUUACACCAUCUGUACUAUUGAGCAAGCUCGGCAUGCACCGAGAAGCCUACGGUAGAGUGUUGUUACCCGCCUUGAGCUUUACAGUUCAAGGGUUGUACCCGAGGCGACAUUUUGGGGGACGC